rnacentral:misc_RNA from 1 species
UCUGCGAGUUCGCGGGAGAGUAAGUUAUUGCCAGGGUUUUUAUUUUUAUAGUAUUUGAAUAAAAUAUUCAAAUACUAUAAAAAUAAAAUAGAUAUUGACAUGGGUUAAACAAAGAUAUAUAUUAUUCUAUGUUGCAUAAACAAAUUGGCAAAGUAGAGAUGGAAGAUAAAAAUAUGGUCAAAGUAAUAAGAGUCUAUGGUGAAUGCCUAGGAA